GUUGCACUCGCGGGCGGCCAGCGCCGUUCCCACGUUGCUGCGGCCGCGGAGGGCAGCGCCGCCCGCCCAGGUGCAAAACACUGGGUGACUUCGGUGUGGAUUUGUUUUUAACCCCUGGAUUUGAUUCUGAUGAGGAUUCAGUGGAAGAUGCUCCAGAUUCUGGGGAAGAUGAGGGUAGAAAGCCGCCUUCAAAGCUUGACAGCAGAAAAACCCAGGGUGUAAUUUGAGACCAGCGAAAAGGAAAACUAUCAGUCCAUUUGCAACCGGCGGUGCGUCCUACGGAUCUCCCGGCUAGAGUACGUCCGCUGUUGUCACCUUCAUCCGCUGCCCAUAUUUCCGGUGCCGGGUUCUGAGUGCGAUGCAUCCGAACGAAGUCAGGCGACCUCUGACUUACCCCUUGGCCCAAGUCAUCACUGGCUGCGCUGAGGGGCGAAAGGGCUGUGCCUGGAGGCCGGGGCCAAAAACCGCUGUCUUGGGCGUAGCUGCAACAGCUGGCACAAGGAGGAGAGGACGUGGAUGGAGACUUGGACUUCGAUGGGGACUGAUGGACGGGCUGGGGGGGGGGAUGAUCAGACAGCUGUUUCCCCAUGGGGGUGCCGAGGAGGGGGCUG